rnacentral:rRNA from 1 species
AACGAACGCUGGCGGCGUGCUUAACACAUGCAAGUCGAACGGGUUUAUUGGAUGUAGCAAUACAUUCAAUAGAUUAGUGGCGCACGGGUGAGUAACGCGUAGGCAACCUACCCUUGUAUUGGGGAUAACCCCGCGAAAGCGGGGCUAAUACCGAAUGAGACCCUGUUCUGGUGGGGACAGGGUGAAAGUCGGCCGCUCGGAGAAGCUGACGUACGAGGAUGGGCCUGCGUCCUAUCAGCUAGUUGGUGCGGUAGCGGCCUACCAAGGCGACGACGGGUAGCUGGUCUGAGAGGAUGAUCAGCCACACUGGCACUGGAACACGGGCCAGACUCCUACGGGAGGCAGCAGUGAGGAAUUUUGCGCAAUGGCCGCAAGGCUGACGCAGCAACGCCGCGUGGGU